rnacentral:rRNA from 1 species
UACGGGGGGAGCAAGCGUUGUUCGGAUUUACUGGGCGUAAAGGGCGCGUAGGCGGCCACCGCAAGUCGGUUGUGAAAUCUCCGGGCUUAACCCGGAAAGGUCAAUCGAUACUGCGGGGCUAGAGUGCAGAAGGGGCAACUGGAAUUCUCGGUGUAGCGGUGAAAUGCGUAGAUAUCGAGAGGAACACCUGCGGCGAAGGCGGGUUGCUGGGCUGACGCUGACGCUGAAGCGCGAAAGCUAGGGGAGCGAACGGG